rnacentral:rRNA from 1 species
UACGUAGGGUGCGAGCGUUGUCCGGAAUUAUUGGGCGUAAAGCGCACGUAGGUGGUCUGACAUGUCGGGUGUGAAAGCCCUCGGCUUAACCGAGGAAGUGCAUUCGAAACUAUCAGACUUGAAUACUCAAGAGGGUCUCGGAAUUCCCGGUGUAGAGGUGAAAUUCGUAGAUAUCGGAAGGAACAUCAGUGGCGAAAGCGACUUCCUGGACCAAUACUGACGCUCAUGUGCGAAAGCGUGGGGAGCAAACAGG